rnacentral:rRNA from 1 species
UACAGAGGAUGCAAGCGUUAUCCGGAAUGAUUGGGCGUAAAGCGUCUGUAGGUGGCUUUUUUAAGUCCGCCGUCAAAUCCCAGGGCUCAACUCUGGACAGGCGGUGGAAACUACCAAGCUGGAGUACGGUAGGGGAGAAUGGAAUUCCCGGUGUAGCGGUGAAAAUGCGCAGAUAUCGGGAGGAACACCGGUGGCGAAGGCGGUUCUCUGGGCCUUACCUGACGCUGAGGAGCGAAAGCGUGGGGAGCGAACAGG